rnacentral:tRNA from 1 species
AUUUAUUUAGUUUAAUAAAACAUUUUAUUUUCAUUAAAAAAAAGGAAAAAUUAUUUCCAAUAAAUA